GUCACUUUGCCGGAGUGGUUAACGGGAUCGCCUGCUAUACACAGCUAAGCGGUUGGGCUUUGCCCGCGAGUGUUCGAAUCGCUCAGGUGACG